rnacentral:misc_RNA from 1 species
GUUUGAACGAGCUUGAGACUCUAAUAAUUUUCGUUCAGCACUAUAAUCAGUUUUAAUAGUCGAUACAUCUAGAUAUUAAUUAUUCUAUUUACUCAAUUGAAUGACUUCUUAUGGAGGUCUUCAGACGUUCGAAAGGAUGGCCUUGCACAUCUCUCAAAUCUCAAUACACACUCCCAUGAUUUUUCGUAGCAGGUCUGGAUAGAUUGUAUUAAUGUUU